CCAAGAGGGUCAUCAGAGGGCCGUCGUGAGACGCGCCCUAGUAGCGAGUCGCCUCGCUACAACACUGUCAAAUUACGGGGAGUUCCUAAAGCUUCGACUACCGCGGCCCAUUGAAAAAUCGGGUGCAGCACUAGGUGUAACGGCCUAGGGAUGGUAAUAACGUCGAGGAUGGUACAAUGGAUAAUCCGUAGCCAAGUCCGCAUUGCAGGAUGCAGUUCAACGAUUAAAUGGCAGUGGGUUGGGCCCCCCUACACCGGGCCCGGCUUAAGAUAUAAUCUACUCCGCACGUGAAAACGUCCC
rnacentral:ncRNA from 1 species